rnacentral:rRNA from 1 species
AUUGAACGCUGGCGGAAUGCUUUACACAUGCAAGUCGAACGGCGGCACGGACUUCGGUCUGGUGGCGAGUGGCGAACGGGUGAGUAAUACAUCGGAACGUGCCCAGUCGUGGGGGAUGACGUAGCGAAAGCUACGCUAAUACCGCAUACGAUCUAAGGAUGAAAGCGGGGGAUCGCAAGACCUCGCGCGAUUGGAGCGGCCGAUGGCAGAUUAGGUAGUUGGUGGGGUAAAGGCUCACCAAGCCGACGAUCUGUAGCUGGUCUGAGAGGACGACCAGCCACACUGGGACUGAGACACGGCCCAGACUCCUACGGGAGGCAGCAGUGGGGAAUUUUGGACAAUGGGCGCAAGCCUGAUCCAGCCAUUCCGCGUGCAGGAUGAAGGCCCUCGGGUUGUAAACUGCUUUUGUACGGAACGAAAAGGCCCUGGUUAAUACCUGGGGCUCAUGACGGUACCGUAAGAAUAAGCACCGGCUAACUACGUGCCAGCAGCCGCCGCUG